AGGAGCUGUUGGAUGUUUGAGAGACCCCCAUUAAAGCCAAAGAGGGAUAGUCUGACCUUGUUUAGUACAAAAAGGGGUGAGGGGUGAACAAAACUUGCCAUAGCUACAGGGUAGGCAAGCAACUACUUGUCAGCUUCAUAGUCAGAGUGUAGGAGUCAGAAGGAGUGUAGACCGAGAUUGCUCAAGAACAUUUUCUCCUCUCAGCACAUAUCUACCAACUUCAGAACAACAAAAAGAUGUUAGUCAUUAUGUCAUUUUUAAUUGUUCUCCUGAUAUCAGGAAACACCAAAGGUGGAAAGGUGCUUAGUGCUUUCCAAAACCAGAUAAUGAAUUGCAACGAGAAGACUGUCUUACAGUGCAACAUCAGCUCAUCAAUGCAGUUAAACAUUAUUGAAAUAUACUGGAAAAAACAAGCAGAAGAAGGUUUUAAAUGUGAUCCAAGAUCGAGCAACAACCCUCCAGGAUUUGAGUGCAAGUACACAAGGGAAGCAUUAACAUUAACUAUUUUACAUCCUACACCAGUUAACAUCGGCACAUAUUUUUGUUGUAUAAUGAUGGACUCUACACAUGGAUCAGAGAAAAUCCACGCGUCUUUAGGAGAGUGCAGAGGCGAAUUCUCCCAACAGAUGCCUGGGCCCAAACAAAAGAAAUGUAGCUUCAAUAGUGUGUAUCCGGACGGAAUAAUAAACUGGUUUCAUUAUGACAAGAACGUGACUUCCAACUCUACAGGCACAAGCCUGGAGAACUCUGAUGGAACAUUCAACAUCUCGAGUAUCCUAAACAUCCAAGACAAUAAAGAGAGAUAUAACUGCUCUCUGUGGUCAUUCAAAAAUGGACGAUACUUUAAAGAUCAAGAGUUUGAAGUGGAAGUUGAUGCUGAUUCCAGUCCAGUUAGCAGCACAAGCACACAGCAUUUUUUAACAUGGACUCUUCUCCUUCUUGUCCUGAUGUUUUCACUGAGAACAUAUUUGUCUUUAUAAUCUUUCUAAGUCAACUCAACUCCUAUAACACAAGAACAGAUAAAAUAACCAAAGAUCUGGUGGGUUUUAAUAAAUGAACAUUGCAAGAUAGAUUGAUCAUCUAAUCAAUAUUUUCAGUGGAAGAAUUGCCUGCCAUGCAGAAAAUCUGGGUCUGGGGAAAUGUAAGGCUUUAGGGAAUGGUAAUGCUUUAUUUUGAUAGUCUACUAGCUAUAAGUAACUUUGCAACUACAUGUCAACUAACUCUCAUUAGAGUAUUAGUAGACUUUCUGCUUAAUAUAUGCUAACUCUUUAAUUUGAUGCUCCCUAACCCAAACCUACCAGUCUACUAAUACUCUAAUGAUACUUUUUUAUUUCAAUAAACUUAAAGGUGCAAUAUGUAAGAAUUUUGCAGUAAAAUAUCCAAAAAACCACUAGGCCAGCGUUAUAUAUUUUGUUCACUUGAGUACUUACAAUAUCCCAAAUGUUUCCAACUAUUUGUAAAUCAUGAGAAAAUUGCAAUUUUAACCAAGGCUCCAGGACGUAUAAGGAGUCGUCUGUCAAUUGGGUCAUACCCGCGUUACCCUCGGUUUCCGGUUUUAUUUUGUAGAAACCAACCCAAAAAGACGCUUUAAUAUUUACAUGUUUUAAUAGACAACUGUUUUGAUAUAUUUAUAGACAGAAAACUAAUUAUUGUUAUAUAGCUCAACACGUUUAGUCUAAUUGUUUAAAUCUAAUUUUCUUGAUUUUUUUGUGAGUACCAUGCUUUUACCAUGCCUCAGUGAAAAACACUAUUUUGUGAAGUAGCUAACAUAGCAUAAUCAGAUGCAGCUUUAUUUUUAGUGAUGGUAAUACAGCACUUUCUGCAUCAUACAAUACGUUUUAAAAUUAAUUGCAUGCCAUUUAUCAACACAAGCCAUCCAGCAUUUAAUAUGAUAUUCUAAUACCAAUCUAGCUUACUACAGUGUGUAACAAGUGUCUCACAGCAGCCGCCGAGCGAAGUGACAUUAUAACAUCAUUUUCAACACAUUCAAAUGUAUCUAAUAUGAUAAACAGAGCUGUGUUACCUCAUACUCAUGAACGGAAAAGCGGAAACGGCGCCGGCGACUGCAGCAUAAUAAAAGUUCCGCUGCUCGUGAGGCGUGUGUUGCGCAAUCGCUCCAGCGGCCUCGUUCAACUCCCACAACACUCGGUCCUGCUCUGCUUCAUACUACAGUAAUGUUAAUAAUCACAUCCAUGAACAUGAUUCCUUCCAGAGUCCUAUCCCUAUUCUUUUGCACCGGUUGUGAAGUGAAGACCACACGUCCCAAGAUUCCAUGCUCAAACUUGCCGUCAUCAAGCUACGCCUUUGUUUUGAAUAGGCCUCUAGCAACCUCUAGCGGACAGAAAAUUCUACAUAUUGCACCUUUAAGUUAAUUACAUAAGGUUAAUCCAAUGCAAUUUAGUUGAAUCAGGUUAACAUUUUUAAUUUUGCCCAAAACUAUUAAGUAUGUUCAAUUAUCCUAAAAUUAAUUUAAAACAACUAAUCCAGUUUCACUAAUGAGUUUAUUCAGUGAAUGUAUUCAAGAACAACUUUUACAAAUGUAACUAACAAGAACAACUUGUACAAAAUAUUUACUCUGUAAAGACUGCCUUCACUUUCCAAAAUCAAAAAGGUAUUUCUACAUAUUGCAAGAAAAAAAGUAAAAUAUAUAGAAUAAAUAAAAAUAAAAUGUGAAUGUAUAAAUUACUCACAUGCACAAGUAAGCUGUUCUGUUCUGUAAGCGCAACUUGAAAUAAAAAAAUAAACAGCUAACAA